rnacentral:lncRNA from 1 species
AUGUUUCCGUGUUUGUUUUUCUUCUCGUUUUUUUUCUCUUUCCCCCCCUCUUGUUUUUAUGCUGCUCACCCUAUGAGGGGCCGUACAAGCCAAAAUUCAUUCUUUCACUCUCACAUACAUACAUUCUUCUUUCACACAUAUAUUUUCACUCUCACUCACAUAUAUUUUCACCCUCACACACAUAUAUUUUCACUCUCACUCACAUAUAUUUUCACCCUCACACACGUAUAUUUUCACCCUCACACACAUAUAUUUUCACUCUCACUCACAUAUAUUUUCACUCUCACACACAUAUAUUUUCACUCUCACACACAUAUAUUUUCACUCUCACAUACAUACAUUCUUCUUUCACACACAUAUAUUUUCACUCUCACUCACAUAUAUUUUCACUCUCACACACAUAUAUUUUCACUCUCACACACAUAUAUUUUCACUCUCACACACAUAUAUUUUCACUCUCACAUACAUACAUUCUUCUUUCACACACAUAUAUUUUCACUCUCACUCACAUAUAUUUUCACUCUCACACACAUAUAUUUUCACUCUCACACACAUAUAUUUUCACUCUCACUCACGUAUAUUUUCACCCUCACACACGUAUAUUUUCACUCUCACACACAUAUAUUUUCACUCUCACACACAUAUAUUUUCACUCUCACACACAUAUAUUUUCACCCUCACACACAUAUAUUUUCACCCUCACACACAUAUAUUUUCACUCUCACACACAUAUAUUUUCACUCUCACACACAUAUAUUUUCACUCUCACAUACAUACAUUCUUCUUUCACACACGUAUAUUUUCACUCUCACUCACAUAUAUUUUCACCCUCACACACAUAUAUUUUCACUCUCACACACAUAUAUUUUCACUCUCACACACAUAUAUUUUCACCCUCACACACAUAUAUUUUCACUCUCACACACAUAUAUUUUCACCCUCACACACAUAUAUUUUCACUCUCACACACAUACAUUUUCAUUUAUGCAUUCCUACAUUUUUCUCUCAUUUACAUGA